rnacentral:rRNA from 1 species
GACUACCGGGGUAUCUAAUCCUGUUUGCUCCCCAUGCUUUCGCACCUCAGUGUCAGUAUUAGGCCAGAUGGCUGCCUUCGCCAUCGGUAUUCCUCCAGAUCUCUACGCAUUUCACCGCUACACCUGGAAUUCUACCAUCCUCUCCCAUACUCUAGCCAACCAGUAUCGAAUGCAAUUCCCAAGUUAAGCUCGGGGAUUUCACAUUUGACUUAAUUGGCCACCUACGCGCGCUUUACGCCCAGUAAAUCCGAUUAACGCUUGCACCCUCUGUAUUACCGCGGCUGCUGGCACAGAGUUAGCCGGUGCUUAUUCUGCGAGUAACGUCCACUAUCCAAGAGUAUUAAUCUCGGUAGCCUCCUCCUCGCUUAAAGUGCUUUACAACCAAAAGGCCUUCUUCACACACGCGGCAUGGCUGGAUCAGGGUUCCCCCCAUUGUCCAAUAUUCCCCACUGCAGCCUCCCGUAGG